rnacentral:lncRNA from 1 species
UAGCCAUUUCGAGCGUUUUUAUGCUCGUGCAUUUUUCGCGGUGCGACAAGAGCUCAUUAACAUUUUUCGCGCCUACACCAUUUUGUUCGUGUUAUUGCAUUUUGCUUCAUACAUGUAAUGGAAUUUAGGCCCCGUUUGGCUCUACUUAUUUUCCACUUUUCUAGUUCUCCUAAAAGAAAUAGAGAAGUAGAAAAUUGUAUUUCACUCUAUUUCUCCUUAAAAUAAUUAGAGAAAUAAAGUAAAGAAGUAAAAAAUAAGAAGAAUUUUGGUUAAACACAAUUUUUUACUUAUUUACUACUUUUAAGGAGAAGAAAAAAAGUGAAAAAUAAGUAGGACCAAACGGAGCCUUAGUCUUGUUUGAAGACCUCUGUGUUUGCUAGUGGUUUGCCUUUAAGUGUGCAGAUUGAAGACUUUUUUGGAUUUGAUAUACCUCCUUGUUGCCUUCAUUGUGAUUUAGCCCUUGGUUUUAGUUUCUAUAUAUGAUGGUUAAGUUGGGUUAUGAUAGUUAUGACAAAUUUUAUAAAAGGAAACGUGGGCAGUGGGCAGAAUGAUACAGCUAAUCAUUUCCUUAUAGGAAUGUUUCCUUAUUCAGCGAGGGAAGAGAAAGUAAA